rnacentral:rRNA from 1 species
AACGAACGCUGGCGGCAUGCCUAACACAUGCAAGUCGAACGAGACCUUCGGGUCUAGUGGCGCACGGGUGCGUAACGCGUGGGAACCUGCCCUUAGGUUCGGAAUACCUCCCCGAAAGGGGUGCUAAUACCGGAUAAUGUCUUCGGACCAAAGAUUUAUCGCCUUUGGAUGGGCCCGCGUUGGAUUAGCUAGUUGGUAGGGUAAAAGCCUACCAAGGCGACGAUCCAUAGCUGGUCUGAGAGGAUGAUCAGCCACACUGGGACUGAGACACGGCCCAGACUCCUACGCGAGGCAGCAGUGGGGAAUAUUGGACAAUGGGCGAAAGCCUGAUCCAGCAAUGCCGCGUGAGUGAUGAAGGCCUUAGGGAUGUAAAGCUCUUUUACCCGGGAUGAUAAUGACAGUACCGGGAGAAUAAGCUCCGGCUAACUCCGUG